rnacentral:tRNA from 1 species
GGCGAGGUAGCUCAGUCGGUUAGAGCGUCGGAUUCAUAACCCGGAGGUCACGAGUUCAAAUCUCGUUCUCGCUACAA